rnacentral:rRNA from 1 species
AAUAGAUACCCUGGUAGUCCACGCCGUAAACGGUGGGCGCUAGGUGUGGGCGACAUUCCACGUCGUCCGUGCCGCAGCUAACGCAUUAAGUGCCCCGCCUGGGGAGUACGGCCGCAAGGCUAAAACUCAAAGGAAUUGACGGGGGGCCCGCACAAGCGGCGGAGCAUGUGGCUUAAUUCGACGCAACGCGAAGAACCUUACCAAGGCUUGACAUACACCGGAAACGUCCAGAGAAUGGGCGCCCCCUUGUGGUCGGUGUUACAGGUGGUGCAUGGCUGUCGUCAGCUCGUGUCGUGAGAUGUUGGGUUAAGUCCCGCAACGAGCGCAACCCUUGUCCCGUGUUGCCAGCAGGCCCUUGUGGUGCUGGGGACUCACGGGAGACCGCCGGGGUCAACUCGGAGGAAGGUGGGGACGACGUCAAGUCAUCAUGCCCCUUAUGUCUUGGGCUGCACACGUGCUACAAUGGCCGGUACAAUGAGCUGCGAUACCGCGAGGUGGAGCGAAUCUCAAAAAGCCGGUCUCAGUUCGGAUUGGGGUCUG